rnacentral:rRNA from 1 species
AGAGUUUGAUCCUGGCUCAGGAUGAACGCUGGCGGCGUGCCUAAUACAUGCAAGUCGAACGCUUCUUUUUCCACCGGAGCUUGCUCCACCGGAAAAAGAGGAGUGGCGAACGGGUGAGUAACACGUGGGUAACCUGCCCAUCAGAAGGGGAUAACACUUGGAAACAGGUGCUAAUACCGUAUAACAAUCGAAACCGCAUGGUUUUGAUUUGAAAGGCGCUUUCGGGUGUCGCUGAUGGAUGGACCCGCGGUGCAUUAGCUAGUUGGUGAGGUAACGGCUCACCAAGGCCACGAUGCAUAGCCGACCUGAGAGGGUGAUCGGCCACAUUGGGACUGAGACACGGCCCAAACUCCUACGGGAGGCAGCAGUAGGGAAUCUUCGGCAAUGGACGAAAGUCUGACCGAGCAACGCCGCGUGAGUGAAGAAGGUUUUCGGAUCGUAAAACUCUGUUGUUAGAGAAGAACAAGGAUGAGAGUAACUGUUCAUCCCUUGACGGUAUCUAACCAGAAAGCCACGGCUAACUACGUGCCAGCAGCCGCGGUAAUACGUAGGUGGCAAGCGUUGUCCGGAUUUAUUGGGCGUAAAGCGAGCGCAGGCGGUUUCUUAAGUCUGAUGUGAAAGCCCCCGGCUCAACCGGGGAGGGUCAUUGGAAACUGGGAGACUUGAGUGCAGAAGAGGAGAGUGGAAUUCCAUGUGUAGCGGUGAAAUGCGUAGAUAUAUGGAGGAACACCAGUGGCGAAGGCGGCUCUCUGGUCUGUAACUGACGCUGAGGCUCGAAAGCGUGGGGAGCAAACAGGAUUAGAUACCCUGGUAGUCCACGCCGUAAACGAUGAGUGCUAAGUGUUGGAGGGUUUCCGCCCUUCAGUGCUGCAGCUAACGCAUUAAGCACUCCGCCUGGGGAGUACGACCGCAAGGUUGAAACUCAAAGGAAUUGACGGGGGCCCGCACAAGCGGUGGAGCAUGUGGUUUAAUUCGAAGCAACGCGAAGAACCUUACCAGGUCUUGACAUCCUUUGACCACUCUAGAGAUAGAGCUUCCCCUUCGGGGGCAAAGUGACAGGUGGUGCAUGGUUGUCGUCAGCUCGUGUCGUGAGAUGUUGGGUUAAGUCCCGCAACGAGCGCAACCCUUAUUGUUAGUUGCCAUCAUUCAGUUGGGCACUCUAGCAAGACUGCCGGUGACAAACCGGAGGAAGGUGGGGAUGACGUCAAAUCAUCAUGCCCCUUAUGACCUGGGCUACACACGUGCUACAAUGGGAAGUACAACGAGUCGCGAAGUCGCGAGGCUAAGCUAAUCUCUUAAAGCUUCUCUCAGUUCGGAUUGCAGGCUGCAACUCGCCUGCAUGAAGCCGGAAUCGCUAGUAAUCGCGGAUCAGCACGCCGCGGUGAAUACGUUCCCGGGCCUUGUACACACCGCCCGUCACACCACGAGAGUUUGUAACACCCGAAGUCGGUGAGGUAACCUUUUGGAGCCAGCCGCCUAAGGUGGGAUAGAUGAUUGGGGUGAAGUCGUAACAAGGUAGCCGUAUCGGAAGGUGCGGCUGGAUCACCU